rnacentral:rRNA from 1 species
CUCGUAGGCGGUUCGGUAAGUCGGGUGUGAAAACUCUAGGCUCAACCUAGAGAGGCCACUCGAUACUGCUGUGACUAGAGUGCGGUAGGGGAGCGGGGAAUUCAUGGUGUAGCGGUGAAAUGCGCAGAUAUCAUGAGGAACACCAGUGGCGAAGGCGCCGCUCUGGGCCGUAACUGACGCUGAGGAGCGAAAGCAAGGGUAGCAAACA